CUACGGGGGGCUGCAGUGAGGAAUAUUACACAAUGGGGGGAACCCUGAUGCAGCAACGCCGCGUGGAGGAUGACGCAUUUCGGUGUGUAAACUCCUUUUAUAUGUCAAGAAAAUGACGGUAGCAUAUGAAUAAGCACCGGCUAACUCCGUGCCAGCAGCCGCGGUAAUACGGAGGGUGCAAGCGUUACUCGGAAUCACUGGGCGUAAAGGACGCGUAUGCGGGUUGGAAAGUCAGGUGUGAAAUCCUACAGCUUAACUGUAGAACUGCACUUGAAACUUCUAAUCUAGAGUAUGGGAGGGGGAGAUGGAAUUAGUGGUGUAGGGGUAAAAUCCGUAGAUAUCACUAGGAAUACCUAAAGCGAAGGCGAUCUCCUAGAACAUUACUGACGCUAAGGCGUGAAAGCGUGGGGAGCAAACAGGAUUAGAUACCCUCGUAGUC
rnacentral:rRNA from 1 species